rnacentral:tRNA from 1 species
GGGCCCGUAGCUCAGUCUGGUCUGGCAUCAGAAGAUGCUCCACAGAAAGAGCGGCAGAACAUCUUGUCGAAGCUCAUAAGAAUCUGAGUGACCUGAUGGUCAUGGGUUCAAAUCCCACCGGGCCCA